rnacentral:rRNA from 1 species
GAUGAACGCUGGCGGCGUGCCUAAUACAUGCAAGUCGAGCGGACGGACGAGGAGCUUGCUUUUCUGAUGUUAGCGGCGGAGGGGUGAGUAACACGUGGAUAACCUACCUAUAAGACGGGGAUAACUUCGGGAAACGGGAGCUAAUACGGGAGAAUAUUUUGAACCGCAUGGUUGAAAAGUGAAAGACGGUCGUGGUGGCACGUAUAGAUGGAUCCGCGCUGUAUUAGCUAGUUGGUAGGGUAACGGCUUAUCAAGGCAAGGAUGCAUAGCCGACCGGAGGGAGUGAUCGGCCACCCUGGAACUGGGACACGGUCCAGGCGCCUGCGGGAGGCCGCAGUAGGCAAUCUGCCGCAAUGGGCGAAAGCAUGACGGAGCAGCGCCGCGUGAGUGAUGGAGGUCUUCGGAUCGUAAAGCUCUGUUAUUAGGGAAGAACAUAUGUGUAAGUAACUGUGCACAGCUUGACGGUACCUAAUCAGAAAGCCACGGCUAACUACGUG